CCUACGGGUGGCAGCAGUGGGGAAUAUUGCGCAAUGGGCGAAAGCCUGACGCAGCGACGCCGCGUGAGGGAUGAAGGUCUUCGGAUCGUAAACCUCUGUCAGCAGGGAAGCACGGUCACUGUGCUAAUCAGCAGUGAAUUGACGGUACCUGCAAAGGAAGCACCGGCUAACUCCGUGCCAGCAGCCGCGGUAAUACGGAGGGUGCGAGCGUUAAUCGGAAUUACUGGGCGUAAAGCGCUCGUAGGCGGUAUGUUAAGUCAAGGGUGAAAUCCCCGCGCUCAACGUGGGAACUGCCUUUGAAACUGGCAGACUGGAGUGUGUGAGAGGAUAGUGGAAUGCCAGGUGUAGGAGUGAAAUCCGUAGAUAUCUGGAGGAACAUCAGUGGCGAAGGCGACUAUCUGGCACAUAACUGACGCUGAGGAGCGAAAGCGUGGGUAGCAAACAGGAUUAGAUACCCCAGUAGUC
rnacentral:rRNA from 1 species